rnacentral:rRNA from 1 species
AUCCGUCGCGGGCGUAGGAAAUUUGAGAGGAGCUGUCCUUAGUACGAGAGGACCGGGAUGGACUGACCUCUGGUGCACCAGUUGUUCCGCCAGGAGCACGGCUGGGUAGCUAAGUCGGGAAGGGAUAAACGCUGAAAGCAUCUAAGCGUGAAGCCUCCCUCAAGAUGAGAUUUCCCAUAGCAAAAGCUAGUAAGACCCCUUGAAGAACACAAGGUUGAUAGGUCAGAGGUGUAAGUGCGGUAACGUAUGUAGCUGACUGAUACUAAUAGGUCGAGGGCUUGACCAA